rnacentral:ncRNA from 1 species
AAAAGACUUAGUCCUAACCUUACUGUUGGUUUUUGCUAGAUAUAUACAUGCGAGUAUCCGCGCACCAGUGUAGAUGCCCUAAGUACCUUACCAAGGUAGACAGGAGCGGGUAUCAGGCUCACCACAACCGUAGCCCAAGACGCCUUGCACUUGCCACACCCCCACGGGUUCUCAGCAGUAGUUAACAUUAAGCAAUGAGUGAAAACUUGACUUAGUCAUAGCAAUUUAGGGUCGGUAAAUCCUGUGCCAGCAACCGCGGUCAUACAGGAGACCCAAAUCAACUUUAUAACGGCGUAAAGAGUGGUCACAUGCUAUCCUAAUAACUAAGAUUAAAAAGUAACUGAGCUGUCAUAAGCCAAAGUUACUCAUAAGGCCUCUACCCUAAAGAAGAUCUUAGCCAAACGAUUAAUUGAACUCCACGAAAGCCAGGGCCCAAACUGGGAUUAGAUACCCCACUAUGCCUGGCCCUAAAUCUUGAUACUCGAUAUUACAUGAGUGUCCGCCCGAGAACUACGAGCACAAACGCUUAAAACUCUAAGGACUUGGCGGUGCUCCAAACCCACCUAGAGGAGCCUGUUCUAGAAUCGAUGAUCCACGAUACACCUUACCAUUCCUAGCCAAAGCAGCCUAUAUACCGCCGUCGCCAGCCCACCCCGCCUGAGGGGACAGAAGUGGGCGCAAUAGUCUAACCCCACUAAUAAGACAGGUCAAGGUAUAGCCUAUGGAAUGGGAGCAAUGGGCUACAUUUUCUAGAUUAGAACAUCACGGCAAAGGGGCGUGAAACCGCCCCUCGAAGGCGGAUUUAGCAGUAAAGUGGGAUAAGAAAGCCCUCUUAAAGCCGGCUCUGGAGCACGUACAUACCGCCCGUCACCCUCCUCGCAAGCGAUAUUCCCUAAUAAAUAAUAAGUGUAUAAGCUAAAGAUGAGGUAAGUCGUAACAAGGUAAGUGUACCGGAAGGUGCACUUAGAAUACC